ACCAUCCUCCAAGGCUAAAUACUCCUGACUGACCGAUAGUGAACCAGUACCGUGAGGGAAAGGCGAAAAGAACCCCGGCGAGGGGAGUGAAAAAGAACCUGAAACCGUGUACGUACAAGCAGUGGGAGCACCUUUAUGGUGUGACUGCGUACCUUUUGUAUAAUGGGUCAGCGACUUAUAUUCUGUAGCAAGGUUAACCGUAUAGGGGAGCCGCAGGGAAACCGAGUCUUAACUGGGCGUUAAGUUGCAGGGUAUAGACCCGAAACCCGGU
rnacentral:rRNA from 1 species